UAAAAACAUUCUCCACAUAGUAUACAUGUAUUCAAGUCAUUAAAUCUAUAAAUUGGAUUUUUAAUGCAUUUUUAAUAAUAGACAGACAAAAAUGAGUUCAUUGGUGAGUGUUAAAUGUGGCAACUUUGUGUCAGUUGUGGUGUAUAAAGUCGCAGUGUAACAUUGGUAGCGAGAUAUAUUUUCUUACAUAUUGUGACAAACAAUAUGUAAGUGAAACUGAGUGAAACAGAUUAUCGAAAAAAAUAGAACAUAGGGCGGGGACGUUUUGGGUUCUGUUUAUUGGUUAUUGAUUGGCUGGCGGUAGAUCUGAAUGCAAGAUUGCUGUCGAUUGUGAGAAAGAGGUGGGGUUUAAGCAAACUAAGUGAUUGGAGAGGUUUGGUAUCCGUCACCAGAGAGAGUUGUUUCACGGGAAGAGUUAUGACAAAAAAAUAAAAAUAAAAAAUGA